rnacentral:rRNA from 1 species
AGCGAACGCUGGCGGCAGGCUUAACACAUGCAAGUCGAGCGGGCCCUUCGGGGUCAGCGGCAGACGGGUGAGUAACACGUGGGAACGUACCCUUCGGUUCGGAAUAACUCAGGGAAACUUGAGCUAAUACCGGAUACGCCCUUUGGGGAAGGUUUACUGCCGAAGGAUCGGCCCGCGUCUGAUUAGCUAGUUGGUGGGGUAAUGGCCCACCAAGGCGACGAUCAGUAGCUGGUCUGAGAGGAUGAUCAGCCACACUGGGACUGAGACACGGCCCAGACUCCUACGGGAGGCAGCAGUGGGGAAUAUUGGACAAUGGGCGCAAGCCUGAUCCAGCCAUGCCGCGUGAGUGAUGAAGGCCUUAGGGUUGUAAAGCUCUUUCGAC